GCGGCUAGGGGUGAAAGGCCAAUCAAACUCGGAGAUAGCUGGUUUUCUGCGAAAUCUAUUUAAGUAGAGCGUUAUCAAUAAAAUGGGGGUAGGGCUCUGGANUCUUGAUGGGGGCGCAAGCUUUACUGACAGUNUUUAAACCUUGAAUACCAUGAUAGCAGACAGGCUGCGGGUGAUAAGAUCCGUAGCCAAGAGGGAGACAGCCCAGACUGUAGGAUAAGGUUCUUAACGAUAACUAAGAUAAAGGCAGCUACUGCUUAGACAACCCUAAUGGUGGGCUUAGAAGCAGCCAUCCAUUAAAGAGGUCGUUAAAGAUCAUGGGACUAGCUACUAGUUGCCGAAAAUUUUGAAGUAGAGUUUUCGUCCGAAGCCACAGUGUUUAAGGUAGCAGAAUGCUCGUAAAGGACCAUAUAAAAACCACAAUUGUGUGUGUUUAUUGUAAUCGGUUUGAAAAAAUCGGUGAACUUUUGCGAGGUAACAAUGUUAGCAUGAGUAACUAAAAAUAUUGUGCGAACCAAUAUCACCGAAAGCCCGAGGUUUUCCCCAAAAGGACAAUCCUAGGGGUGUGAAACGGUUCCUAAGAGUAGAUUCGAAAGAAUUUUCUCGAUGGCAUACUUGAUCCGACAGCGGUGAGAGUUUGAAAAUUANAANUACCGUACCAAACCAAUGCAGGUGGGCGGGUUGGGUAUACUNAGGUGAUCGAGGCAACGGCGUUUAAGGAACUCGGCAAANUGACUCUGUAACUUUGGGAGGAGGAGUGCUCUUUUUNUAGAGUGUAAUAAACAAGGGGGGAGCGACUGUUUACUAAAAACACAGGACUCUGCGAAAUAGCAAUAUGACGUAUAGGGUCUGACGCCUGCCCGGUGCCAUUGAGCAAAAGCAAGGUGUGNNAGCANCNAGUAUAAGCUUCGGUAAACGGCGGCUGUAACUCUGACGGUCCUAAGGUAGCGAAAUUCCUUGGCGGGUAAGUUCCGUCCUGCAUGAAUGGCGUAACGACUCCCCUACUGUCUCAAGCGCCGGCUCGGUGAAAUUGAAUUGCCCGUGAAGAUGCGGGCAUGUCGUGGCUAGACGGAAAGACCCUGUGCACCUUUACUAUAACCUUGCGUUGCUCUAGGCUUGUGAUUGCUCAGAAAAGGCGGGAGUUUGGUGACAACAACUAAACACUAGUGAGAUACCGCCCUUUUGCAUGUCUAGGGUUUUUUGUAAGGCUGGUAGUUUGGCUGGGGUGGCCGCCUCCUAAAGAGUAACGGGGGUGCGCAAUGGUGAGCUCAACCCGACUUUCGGGGUGAGAGCGUAAUGGUAUAAGCUCGCCUGACUGAAAGAUAUACAAAUCGAUCAGGAACGCAAGUUGGUCAUAGUGACCCGACGGUGCUGCGCGGAAAGGCCGUCGAUCAACGGAUAAAAGGUACGCCAGGGAUAACAGGCUAAUAACCCCUAAGAGACCAAAUCGCCGGGGUUGUUUGGCACCUCGAUGUCGGCUCAUCACAUCCUGGAGCUGUAGGCGGUUCCAAGGGUUCGGCUGUUCGCCGAUUAAAGUGGUACGUGAGCUGGGUUUAGAACGUUGUGAAACAGUUCGGUCCCUAUCUACCACGACAAGGAUUGCGGGUGGCCACCCUAGUACGGGAGGAUCGGGUGGCACUGGCCAAUGGUGACCAGUUGUUUUUCCAUGUAAAAUAAGCAUCGCUGGAUAGCUACGCCAGGAGGUAUAACUGCUGAAUGCAUAUAAAGCGGGAAGACCGCCCCAAAAUAUCUUAUAAAAGUAGAACAUGACUACAUAGGCGAGAUUGUUUUAGGCUGUAAGGUCG
rnacentral:rRNA from 1 species